CCUCUUCAGAGAAAACACAAGCCACAGAGAUUUUUUGCAACUCAUGUUUUCCCAGGGUGCACCGUCAAGCUCUGGCUCAAUGAAACUCAAUUGGUCAAGACCCUUGCCUCAGUCAGUCAUUCUGGAUAACCACCAUGAGUCCUGCAAAGCCCUUCAGUAAUCUAUUGCCUUCCUAGGUGAUGUGUACCCAGGGUCCUGCAAUAUACUUUGUGACACCAAAUAUAAAGAGGGUCCUGUUGCUUCUGGACAGCUGAAACCUGCGAGUCACAGGGAGGCUCUGACCAUUCAUCCACCACAACUCAGAAAACACCACUGGAGUUUACGUUUGUGUGAAUUAGGAAGAGUCUAAGUGAGAUGCCAAUGGCUCGUGUGUCUCCCCACACGAAGAACUCCAACUCAUGAAAACGGCAUCAUCAUGAGGAAACAGUUGUAUGUGGCACAGGCAGUGAAACCAUCAGAUAGCACCCACGUGGCCACCUCCAACUGGUCCCCAAAACCACCAGUAUUCCUAUUACGUGUAUG